UCAAGCGGUUUCGAUAUAAUCAGCUCAAAGUCCGAGUCAACUAGACGAAAGUUGAAUUAGUUCGCGUUAAGUUAUCGUGAUUAUCCGUGUAGGUUCGCAAAUAUAUGAUAUCGUCUGCAUCAAGUACAAUGUAUGUAAAAUCGGUAGUUUAGGUGUUCCGAGUUGCGUCUCCGGAAUAUACCGAGCAUUCAAGCGUUUCUUCACGCUCCCUUUUCGGAUGCUUAUCGUCAUAUGGUAUAACGUCAACACACAAAGCGAGGAUUGUUUGAGUAUUCUGGGUGGACCCCCCUCCCCCUUGCGGGGCUGCCAGGGGAAUGGUGACAAUGAAAAGAGACUGAGGUUCAUGCCAAACAUCCAAUUAAGACGCGAUAGUUCAGUGCGAUCCUUAAGGGUUGGGGCACACUCAGAUGCAAAUGGAAACAUGCGAUUGGCAAGAAACUAGCUUAUGUUCAACGAUAACUAUGUUCUGUAAUCAACUGACCGAAUCGUUUUUCCCCUGACCAGAACACACGUAGCUGAGCUGUUUCCAUGGUAACCCGAACCGUUCUUGGAUUAUUACUUUAGGCAUAGAUCGUAGAGCUCCAACGAUUUGAUCCGAUGCAUCGAAAAUCGGUUCGAAAUGCGUCGAUUCGACUACGAUACCAAACCUACCAAAUUCGAUUCGAUUCUUUAACAUAUAGACAUAUAAACAUAUAUAUAUACAUAGAUACGUAAAGCUCGCUGUAUUCUGACUAUUUGAUACGGAAAGGUGUAGGUUUUAUCUUUACUUGUAAUUACGACGCGCGCGAUUGGCUGCUUAUUACUUAAGUCAUCCAAUCAAUAAGCGCGUUACGGCCUACUUUCGGAAAAAGCGUCAAAAUGGCUGAGCAAGUUGCGGCCGACAAAUUGAAAUUAUCAGACGCGCCUAAGAAGCUAAAAUAAAAAAGUGGCAGUAUUUUGGGUUUCGGGAUGGUAGCCCUCCCGAUAAAGCAAAGUGUAAACUGUGCUUUACGGAUGCAAACAUAACGUUGAUUUAGCAAGACUAAGAGGUAGCACAAGUGCAACUACUCAAGUCGCCAGCCAGAAAAGUAGUUCUGUUUCUGUUUGAAAUUUGUUGAGUUUAUUAGAGAAUGUGCUUUGUCCUACAGGUAACAGGUAAUGCUGUCUCAGCACAAUUGUAGACAUGCGUGUAGCGGUUUUGGACAUAAGUAUAUUAAUGAUAGUACGAUCACUCCACUGACUCCAGAUGUUCGUAUGAUUAUUUAUUUAAUUUUAUAUUAUUGUGUAUUCUACACAAUCUUCAAGUCAGAAGUUUUUUAUAUUAAAAUUGAGUCCUAAUUUGCUAUUCUUUUUUAUGUAUUUUAUUGAAAUAUCGACAUAGUUUGAAAGACAAUUGGCAGUUUCUUGCAAAAUAUUUCUUACAAAUGUUUAUUUAACACACGUUCAACCGUUUUUAAAACUCUGUUGAACCAACCAAACUAUAUCAAACAAACACAAAAAUGCCCAAGAUAUCUAGGUAUGCGACACUUUUGAACAGAAAUGUUUAUUUGAGGCAGAAGAGUGAAUAUAUGAUAAAACUAGGUUUGAAGAUGAAUCGAAUCGAAAAAAUCGGUAUCGGAGUGUCUAUAAUCGAAAUCGAAUCGAAUCGAGCUGUUGGUGAAUCGUUGCAGCUCUAAUAGAUUGUAACAUUUUAACGAAUGGUCAACAUGUGACGUUCAUGCAUUUUUAUUAUACGUUUAAUAUAUACGAGAUGUCGAUCAAACAGUUGUGUCAUUGUAAUAGAUAGUAGUGAACCUUUGCUGAUCAUGUUAAUGUUUAAGUUGUUUGCGAACAUUAGACCUCCUUUAUAGUACAAUUUAUCGUCCAAACAUACCCUGAAUUUACAUGGUGGUGAACAUAAUGCCAUAAACAAAAUUAAGGCCGUCUUCUGAUCUAUAAUGUCCGAAUUCUUAUUGUUAAACUCAUAACUGACAGUGUCAAUAACGUCCUUAAAUGACAGAGACGAUUGAAACAGAAUAUAGGAAACAAGACAGCUUGUUGAAAGUAGCAAAGUGCUUUCAAUAGUAAUUACAAUUGCCACAGAUUGUUGUCUGUUGGCUCAGAAUGACAUAAGGAAGAAAGGAAGGAGAAUAUAAUGUACUUUUCAACCAGUUUUUGUUUGAACAAUUUGUGACUUAUAACCAUGCAUGUCUUGCUAAAGUUCGAGAAUAUAUUAGCGUUAACAUGAAAUGUACGCGUAAAACGUGUGAUUACUUUUUUGUUUUUGAUAGUCGUAUUGUUAAGACGAACACAAUUCGAAAAACAAACAACACCAUACUUAAGGCACUCUAACGCCAUAGCACCGUUAAACAAGAGAAUGUGUUUGUCAUUCAGUCACGAUCAUUGUUUCUAUUUUUAUGACCACACACUACAUUUGAGAUGCUUGUCAUUAUAACUUAUAUUAUUUUCUUUAUAACUUAUUACUUAUGUCCAGUUGCGUAACGUUCUGUGCGUCACAGUAUUAUUGUCCCAGUAUAUGUAUGUAAUUUUUUGACAUUCAUAUUCUGUCAUCUCGUUUGUGCAAGCUUUAAAUUACUUGUUUAUUACACAUUUUGCGAUUCCCAUCGUAGUCAUAUACAUUUAAAAAACUAUCCAUUGAAUAAUUCAAUUUAGUGCUGAUUAUGGCUAAGCUUCAUUUUUAUACUUUGUAUAACAGUUUACUAGUAAAAUAAUAUAUGUAUGCAUAGUGACUCUUAUUAUGGUGUCGGUAUUAUACUUUUCAUAAUAGCUUUUUUCACGGUAUUAUUUAUUGCACGUAAAUACCAUACAGCAAUUUUGUUAUCACUCUAGCGCUAUUUAGACGUAUCAUUAUAUUAUGUUGAUAUUAUAUAUUAGUUCUAUGUUUACAUCUGAAUAUAUUUAUGUUAAAAGCAUUCGCGAUGCCAAAGUUCAAAUUGUAUAUAGCCAUAUUACUAUGUUUAACACAAUUUAGUCUGAUGUAAACGCCUUGUAUAAAUUUGUAAUCUAUGAAUAUAUGAUUUUAUUUAAAGCAUGUGUUGAGUACUGAAUCAAAUUUUAAAAUGAUAGUAAAACUUAAUAUAUAUAUUAGCUUUAAGCCAAUAUGGGGACAGGGCAUUUUGUUUGUAUGAGAUACUUAAAGUAGAAAAUACGAGAAUGUUACUGUUGCGAACUUUUUUAAUGGAAUCGUUUGAAAACCGAUAAUAUGUAUAUGUUUAAUAUGCAAUAAAAUGCAAAGUCCUAUAGGUUUCUACCAAGCAUAUGCUUGAAUGCUUUUAUUUUUGAAACAAUAACGUUUUUGUAAUGUUUAAGUGUCAAGGAAAUUUAAACAUAUUGAAGCAGUAUUAUCCAAUAUAGAAAUACUCCUUACAAUGUUGCAAUUUACAAGCAGUAUAGUGAAAACUUUGCAAUCUUUACCUCAAAAUAACUAUUUUAUUGAAUAAAAUUGGCAAAAUACUGGUGCAAUGUAAAUGAGUAUAUAUGUAGUUUUGGGUGUCAUGUAUAAUUAUUUGUACCUAUAGUCUAUGAAGUUUAUAUAUUUGUGUAAUAAAGAAAUCCUGGAUAUUAUAAUACCAUAAACCUG